GCGCCGCUGGUGUAAUGGCGUAGUGCAUUCCUGCCUGGUUAGCAGGUGGUGCUGGUUCGAGUCCCGCACAGCGCC
rnacentral:tRNA from 1 species